ensembl:lncRNA
UCUUCUCCUCUCUUCCGCUGAGCACCUUCAUUUUCUUUGGGGGAACGACCUCUCCCUCACUCUCAGUCCAGUAGUUCAGAUGAGCCAUACACACCCACCUCCACUCUCACGGGAGAGGGUGUAUAUUUCACCCCAUCUUCCACAAGGAUUGCUUCAGUGGCAGACAAGUGAAUUAAGCGAAAGAGAUCCAAUUCCAGAACUUUUGUAGGGACGAAAGGCAAAGAGAAGCUCUCUUUCCGCUGAGACUGAUAGCUAUAGGGAAGACAUAAGCCUGGAACUUUUGGAGGCACCCACAUGGAGAAAGCCUGCGAGAGUGAAGCCAACGAAAAGGAAAGCAGAACAGACAGGAGAGAGACUGAGUUCUGACCACAGUGUUUGAGCUCCUGGUUCCAGCCAUACCUGAAGACUUGCCAUGAAUUUUCAGUGAUAUAAACCAACAAAUUUCCUUAAAAAAAAAAAUUGUAAGCAGCUUAAGUUGAAUUUCCAUCACGUGCAAACAGCAGACUCCUGACUAAUAGGUGGGGCCUGUCUGAGGAGUUAGGUCGUCAUAGCUGUAUGUCUGGGUCCUAUGGAGCCACAGGCUGAAGCACAAGUCUUUGUCAUUGUGCCAGAUCACCGGGUGCAACCCUGAGCAAGAGAGGGGGGCAUCCUCCCACCUCUGCUGAGGUCACAGCCGGGCUCCAGGGAGACCACAACUAUGUGGCCCCUCUGGAUCCUCAAGGACUGCUGCCUUGAGAGGCUGGCAGAUCCCCCGGACAGGAGAAUAGUCUCAGCCAUCACAGGCCUGAGCAGCAAUGGAAGUGAAGAACCCUCAAGCGGCUUCACAGGCAGCCAAAUUCCACAAGGGGGCGGGGCAGUCGAGAGCAGAAGAAAGAGAGGCUCCUGGAACCAAGGGGGGACUAACUGCUCCCUGGACCUGUAUUUGUGCAGUGCAAAGGAGGGACCGAAGCAGCCGAGAGAACGUGCCUCUCAGAGCUCCACCUGCAGGAAUGUGUUUGACCAUCACGACUUCCCACAGGCUGCUCCCAGCCAAUGACAGCACAACAGGGACACUAAGGCAGGCCUGUGCCCAGGAGAAGCGGGACUCCUCUGACAGAUGACUUUGGCUCAAGGACUCCUCAUCAGUACAGCCAGAACUUUCGGAGAACUGCGCUACAUUCUAAGACUCCCUGUCUAAACUUCCUUCCUCUCCCUUUCCUCCGCAGAGGUCAGACCCGCAUCACAGCUAUGCUCUCCCGACCUCCUCUGGCUUUCUCACUGUUUCCCCUCUCAGGUCUUUUCCCUGAAAAUCUCCUGGGGUCUAAUCUCAUCUUGGCAUCUACACCUUGGAAGACCUGAAGAGAACCUGUUGCUAUUGUGUAUAAAACUCACUUCUGAGCUUCCUGGCAAUCAAAGGGAAAAUAUUGUGUAUGUUAAUCAUUAGUGCUCUUCAUCAAAUACUUCCAGUCCCCCUACUUCCAAGCACACUAGCAUUACCCAUCCAGGUUCAUUUUUGCCUGCUGCCCGGAAAGCUAAACACCAAGACGACGAGAUUGCAGCAGAGAAAGGGUUUACUCACAAGGCAGCCACGUGAGUAAGUGAGAGAAUGAGUCUCAAAUCUGCCUUCCUGAAAAUGGAGACUCAGGGAUAUUUAUGGGGUAGGAGGCAAGGUGGUCUAAAAUGUAGAGACAGAUGUUUGGAGGUGAGGAGAAGUGAGGUAAUUGAUGACCUGUGCAAGCGUAGUCAGACUCCAUGCCUCUUCCUAGGACGCAUGUUCACAAAGUGGCAGCGUGAGCUGGAUCGGGGGGUGGAGUUUUGAGCCUCUUGAUGUCAAAAGGUAGCUUAUGGGACAUCUGCAUGGGCCCAGUUGAUGAGUUCGUGGUCUCAACAGGCCUGAAGUGGACAAGGGGGUUUUAAUUCCUGAAAAACAGCUCAAACACCCAUUACCCUGGUGAUCC